GACGAACGCUGGCGGCGUGCCUAAUACAUGCAAGUCGAGCGGACUGAAUGGGAGCUUGCUCUUGUUCGGUCAGCGGCGGACGGGUGAGUAACACGUGGGCAACCUGCCCGCAAGACCGGGAUAACUCCGGGAAACCGGAGCUAAUACCGGAUAACACCGAAGACCGCAUGGUCUUUGGUUGAAAGGCGGCGCAAGCUGCCACUUGCGGAUGGGCCCGCGGCGCAUUAGCUAGUUGGUGAGGUAACGGCUCACCAAGGCGACGAUGCGUAGCCGGCCUGAGAGGGUGACCGGCCACACUGGGACUGAGACACGGCCCAGACUCCUACGGGAGGCAGCAGUAGGGAAUCUUCCGCAAUGGGCGAAAGCCUGACGGAGCGACGCCGCGUGAGUGAAGAAGGCCUUCGGGUCGUAAAGCUCUGUUGUGAGGGACGAAGGAGCGCCGUUUGAAGAAGGCGGCGCGGUGACGGUACCUCACGAGGAAGCCCCGGCUAACUACGUG
rnacentral:rRNA from 1 species